rnacentral:rRNA from 1 species
UACGGAGGGUCCAAGCGUUAUCCGGAAUCAUUGGGUUUAAAGGGUCCGUAGGCGGUUUUGUAAGUCAGUGGUGAAAGCCCAUCGCUCAACGGUGGAACGGCCAUUGAUACUGCAAGACUUGAAUUAUUGGGAAGUAACUAGAAUAUGUAGUGUAGCGGUGAAAUGCUUAGAGAUUACAUGGAAUACCAAUUGCCGAAGGCAGGUUACUACCAAUAUAUUGACGCUGAUGGACGAAAGCG